AAUGCAUUUCUUACCUUCCGCCACUCAUGUAGCUUCAAUAUUCUAUCUUGCCUGGGAUAGGGAGAUUCUCUUUUGAAUUUUCUCAAGGUUCAGGUCAUCUUUUUCUUGUGCUUGCCCAUUGGUUAGUGGUCCUUCAUUUCUUGAGACCUUGAACUCCCUUUGGUAUUUUCUUUUUCAACACUACUGAAUCCUUGCCAUGCCACUUUCUGGUUUCUUCAAGCUACUCUGAAUUGUAUUCUCCAUCAAAAAUGCCGCUUAGGACUUACAGUUACUGGAGACAUUUAAAACAGACUUGCUUGUCAGUUCACUCCAUGAGGAUGGAGUGUAUAUGGAAUCAAACCAGAAAGAAGGAACAGAGCUUUGAUCUUCGGAGUUCUCCAGCUGCAUAGACACUUCUUUUCUCAGACUCAUCUGCAUCAUUUGCCUACUCUUCAGAAGGAUUGGAAAUGAUUAUUGUAACACAUACCAGAUAGAACUGGACUUGGACAUGCAACAAAAUCAGCAACAAGAGGGCUGCUUGAAGAGCACCAGAUCUUAAGAUUACCGUAGGUCUCUGCUUCUGUGUCACUUACAUGCUUCCUAGUGGAACUCUUUUCAGAAGACAAUCCAGUUUGAUGCUAACUCAUCUUCAGAAUAUAAUCAGCUCUGCUGGUAAAGUAGGGGAAGAGUUAAUGCUCAAACCUGCCUUCAGAUUGUGUUUCACAGCAUGCAUUUUAAUUCAGAAUUUUUUUUAAAUCUGUUUUCUAUUAUUAUUCUUAUUGUUAUCAUGAUUAUCUAUAGACACUACUUUUGGCCAUGUGGAAUCUAAAGCAGUCAACAGACAAACCACACUGGGAUUUCUGUCUCACAUGUAUAAGUUCCUGGAUAAUUGUGUUCUGGUAUUAAGGGUAAAUGGGAGCAAGUGAUUUGAUGAGAAAGAAAUACCAUUUAGAUUGUUAUCACUAUAACAGUAAUACUGGCAGCAGCAAUGGUAUGUCCCACUUGUUUGCUAAAAGUAUAUAGAGCAGCAUCUAACAUGUGAGCUUGUCAGCAGCUUGAGUCAAAAAGGAUG
rnacentral:lncRNA from 1 species